UGUAUCAGUGAUGACAAUUUGGCUCCCUCUACUGAAUACUGUGAGGAGAUCGCCAACGUUACCAUUUGUCUGAGAUGCA